CCCGACUGCUAUCGGAUUGAGAUUUAGCCAUGCGAGUCGAACGUCCCCCCGCUUGCGGGGGGCGUGGCGUACGGCUCAGGGACGGGUAGUCAACCUGUCCUGGAGACACGGACAACCCCGGGAAACUGGGACUAAUCCGUGAUAGGUCACCUCAUCUGGAAGGAGAGAUGGCCCAAAGGGGCGCGCGGGCUUCUUCUGCGCGUUCGCUCCAGCAUGGGACUGAGACCGAUCAGGCUGUUGGCGGGGUAAAGGCCCACCAAACCCUGUAACCGGUACGGGCCUUGACACAGGUGGUCCGGAGAUGGACCCUGACAAUAGGGUUCCAUUCCUUCGGGGCGCAGCAGGGGGGAAACCUUCGCAUGUGGCGACCCGUGACGUAGGUAAUCCGGUUGUUUUCCGGCGUAGGACACCCUUGCUCCGUUGUUACUGGUGCUGUCCAAUAUGGGGGAG
rnacentral:rRNA from 1 species